rnacentral:rRNA from 1 species
AUUGAACGCUGGCGGCAUGCUUUACACAUGCAAGUCGAACGGCAGCGGGGAGGAGCUUGCUUCUCUGCCGGCGAGUGGCGAACGGGUGAGUAAUACAUCGGAACGUGUCGAGAAGAGGGGGAUAACCACCCGAAAGGGUGGCUAAUACCGCAUAAAUUCUGAGGAAGAAAGCUGGGGACCUAGGAAUAGGCCUAGCGCUUUUUGAGCGGCCGAUGUCGGAUUAGCUAGUUGGUGAGGUAAAGGCUCACCAAGGCGAAGAUCUGUAGCGGGUCUGAGAGGAUGAUCCGCCACACUGGGACUGAGACACGGCCCAGACUCCUACGGGAGGCAGCAGUGGGGAAUUUUGGACAAUGGGGGCAACCCUGAUCCAGCCAUGCCGCGUGUAUGAAGAAGGCCUUAGGGUUGUAAAGUACUUUUGUUAGGGGAGAAAAGUCAGCUGUGAAUAAUGGCUGAUACUGACGGUACCUAAAGAAUAAGCACCGGCUAACUACGUG